rnacentral:rRNA from 1 species
AGGUCCAGCCUGCCCAGUGACUCUGUUCAACGGCCGCGGUAUCCUAACCGUGCGAAGGUAGCGUAAUCACUUGUUCUUUAAAUGAGGACUAGUAUGAAUGGCACCACGAAGGUUAUACUGUCUCCUUUCUCUAAUCAGUGAAACUAAUCUCCCCGUGAAGAAGCGGGAAUAAGAAUAUAAGACGAGAAGACCCUAUGGAGCUUCAAACAAAUAUACAAUUGCCUUCUACACUUAAAAUUUCAGAAAAAAACACUUACCCAGGCACUUUGAUAUAAAGUUUUAGGUUGGGGUGACCACGGAGUAAAAAAUAACCUCCGCAAUGAAAGGGAAUUUUUCCCUAAACUAAGGGCCACAACCCUAAGUAUCAACAAAUUGACACCAAUUGACCCAAUACAUUUGACCAAUGAACCAAGUUACCCUAGGGAUAACAGCGCAAUCCACUUCAAGAGCCCCUAUCGACAAGUGGGUUUACGACCUCGAUGUUGGAUCAGGGUAUCCUAGUGGUGCAGCCGCUACUAAUGGUUCGUUUGUUCAACGAUUAAAACCCU